GUGAAUCAUCGAAUCUUUGAACGCAAAUUGCACUUUCUGGUAUUCCGGAAAGUAUGCCUGUUGGAGGGUCAGUUAAAUAAAAAUGGGGGUUGUUGCUGCCUUUGGUGGUGAGGUGUCGGAAUUGGGUCGUCUUACCUUGGGUUAAGGGACUUAAAAUUUUUGCAUGAUUUUGGAACGGAUUUAAAUCGCUUAGGUUCGUUUGAGAUAUGGAAUGCUUAUUAGGUUGGGUCAUUCACAUGGUUUGUGUCU
rnacentral:misc_RNA from 1 species